rnacentral:tRNA from 1 species
GAAUUUGAAGCAAUUAUUGCAUUUAGUUUCGACCUAACCUUAGGCUUACAGCCCUCAUUCU